UACGAAGGGGGCUAGCGUUGCUCGGAAUGACUGGGCGUAAAGGGCGCGUAGGCGGAUCUGACAGUCAGGUGUGAAAUUCCCGGGCUUAACCUGGGGGCUGCACUUGAUACGUUGGGUCUAGAGUGAGGAAGAGGGUCGUGGAAUUCCCAGUGUAGAGGUGAAAUUCGUAGAUAUUGGGAAGAACACCGGUGGCGAAGGCGGCGACCUGGUCCUUGACUGACGCUGAGGCGCGAAAGCGUGGGGAG
rnacentral:rRNA from 1 species